CUAUAGGUUCAUUUAAAAAGCAUAUCUUGUAUCGAUUAUAACAAUAUCUAUUUUGUUACAGAUGGCGAUGAAGGCUCGAGUCGAGUAUUUCACAGGAUCGCGUCCAACAACCGGAAAUACUAUCAUUUGCUUCGAAGUUCCAGUUCAAAUUGUGAAAGCGGAAGACAAGGAAGUAUAAGAUUCACAGUCCUAAGCAAAUUUCUGAAAACAUCAGUGAAUUUAUAUUAUUCAUAAAACUUAUGUUUUUUUGUUUAUCCUGUUUGUCCUGUAAAAUUGUUGCAUGUCUUAUGUAAAACAUACAAUUUUUUUUAGUACUUUAAACGCAAUGAAAUCGAUUUUAUUUUAAAUAGUUUGUCUUUUAUUAAAUUCUUUGAUAGUUUUC